rnacentral:rRNA from 1 species
GUAUUAGAGGUCCCGCCUGCCCUGUGACAGCAGUGUUUGACGGCCGCGGUAUUUUAACCGCGCGAAGGUAGCGUAAUCACUUGUCUUUUAAAUGGAGACCUGUAUGAAUGGCAUAACGAGGGUUUUACUGUCUCCUCCCCCCAGUCAAUGAAAUUGAUCUGCCCGUGCAGAAGCGGGCAUAAUGACAUAAGACGAGAAGACCCUAUGGAGCUUCAGGCAAAUGAUCAAGCACACAAGACCCUAAUAUUAAUCAAGUUUAGGAGAAACAAAAAUCUAUGAUCAAAAUGCCUUCGGUUGGGGCGACCAUGGAGGAAAGAAGAGCCUCCAAGUGGAAGGGGAAAACCCUUGAACUAAGACAAACACCUCUAAGUAGCAGAAAUUCUGACCAAGCAUGACCCAGGCUUGAGCCUGAUCAACGAACCGAGUUACCCUAGGGAUAACAGCGCAAUCCCCUCCCAGAGUCCAUAUCGACGAGGGGGUUUACGACCUCGAUGUUGGAUCAGGACAUCCUAUUGGUGCAGCCGCUAUUAAGGGUUCGUUUGUUCAACGAUUAAUAGUCCUACGUGAUCUGUUUCCAAAGACCGGG